UACGAAGGGGGCUAGCGUUGUUCGGAAUCACUGGGCGUAAAGCGCACGUAGGCGGAUCUUUAAGUCAGAGGUGAAAUCCCAAGGCUCAACCUUGGAACUGCCUUUGAUACUGGGGAUCUUGAGUCCGGGAGAGGUGAGUGGAACUGCGAGUGUAGAGGUGAAAUUCGUAGAGUAUUCGCAAGAACACCAGUGGCGAAGGCGGCUCACUGGCCCGGUACUGACGCUGAGGUGCGAAAGACGUGAGGAGCAAACAGG
rnacentral:rRNA from 1 species